rnacentral:rRNA from 1 species
GAGGAAUAUUGGGCAAUGCCCGCAAGGGUGACCCAGCAACGCCGCGUGGAGGAUGAAUGUCGUAAGAUUGUAAACUCCUGUUAGAGGGGAAGAAUAGUACCGGUUGGACCGGUAUAUGACUGUACCCUCAGAGAAAGCCCCGGCUAACUACGUGCCAGCAGCCGCGGUAAUACGUAGGGGGCAAGCGUUGUCCGGAUUUACUGGGUGUAAAGGGCGCGCAGGCGGGAUAAAAAGUCAGUGGUGAAAUCCUACAGCUUGACUGUAGAACUGCCUUUGAUACUUUUAUUCUUGAGUUCGGGAGAGAGAGACGGAAUUCCAGGUGUAGUGGUGAAAUACGCAGAUAUCUGGAAGAACACCAGUUGCGAAGGCGGUCUCUUGGUCCGACACUGACGCUGAGGCGCGAAAGCGUGGGGAGCAAACA